rnacentral:rRNA from 1 species
UGGGGAAUAUUGGACAAUGGGGGCAACCCUGAUCCAGCAAUGCCGCGUGUGUGAAGAAGGUCUUCGGAUUGUAAAGCACUUUCGACGGGGACGAUGAUGACGGUACCCGUAGAAGAAGCCCCGGCUAACUUCGUGCCAGCAGCCGCGGUAAUACGAAGGGGGCUAGCGUUGCUCGGAAUGACUGGGCGUAAAGGGCGUGUAGGCGGUUUACACAGUCAGAUGUGAAAUCCCCGGGCUUAACCUGGGAGCUGCAUUUGAUACGUGUAGACUAGAGUGUGAGAGAGGGUUGUGGAAUUCCCAGUGUAGAGGUGAAAUUCGUAGAUAUUGGGAAGAACACCGGUGGCGAAGGCGGCAACCUGGCUCAUGACUGACGCUGAGGCGCGAAAGCGUGGGGAGCAAACAGGAUUAGAUACCCUGGUAGUCCACNCUGUAAACGAUGUGUGCUAGAUGUUGGGUAACUUUGUUAUUCAGUGUCGCAGUUAACGCGUUAAAGCACACCGCCUGGGGAGUA